rnacentral:lncRNA from 1 species
GGAUCCUUAAGAAUCCUACCACUUCUAAGCUCGAAAAUUACUUUGGCAUUCUCAAAUUGAGGAUUCUUAGGUGGGAUAUUGGAUUGAUGACUAGGUUCAGGUGGUUGGUGGGUGGGUGGGUUAUUUUUGAAAUUCGAUAUUGGUUGGCUCGGUAAUUGAUCUAGUUCUCUCUUCAUGGUAGACUCAGCUAACUGACCUAUUUGUGCUUCUAGCUUAAUGAUGGAUUGCUGUUGGAUCAUAAUCAUUUGUUAAAGUUGGCUAAAUCUAUUAUCGACUAGAGAGAUCU